rnacentral:tRNA from 2 species
GCGCCCGUAGCUCAAUCGGAUAGAGUAACUGACUACGAAUCAGGAGGUUGGAGGUUCGAGUCCUCCCGGGCGCGCCA